rnacentral:rRNA from 1 species
AUGAACGCUGGCGGCGUGCCUAAUACAUGCAAGUCGAGCGAACAGACGAGGAGCUUGCUCCUCUGACGUUAGCGGCGGACGGGUGAGUAACACGUGGAUAACCUACCUAUAAGACUGGGAUAACUUCGGGAAACCGGAGCUAAUACCGGAUAAUAUAUUGAACCGCAUGGUUCAAUAGUGAAAGACGGUUUUGCUGUCACUUAUAGAUGGAUCCGCGCCGCAUUAGCAAGUUGGUAAGGUAACGGCUUACCAAGGCAACGAUGCGUAGCCGACCUGAGAGGGUGAUCGGCCACACUGGAACUGAGACACGGUCCAGACUCCUACGGGAGGCAGCAGUAGGGAAUCUUCCGCAAUGGGCGAAAGCCUGACGGAGCAACGCCGCGUGAGUGAUGAAGGUCUUCGGAUCGUAAAACUCUGUUAUUAGGGAAGAACAAAUGUGUAAGUAACUAUGCACGUCUUGACGGUACCUAAUCAGAAAGCCACGGCUAACUACGUG